rnacentral:misc_RNA from 1 species
GAUGAAGAACGUAGCAAAAUGCGAUAAGUAAUGUGAAUUGCAGAAUUCAGUGAAUCAUCGAAUCUUUGAACGCACAUUGCGCCCGCCAGUAUUCUGGCGGGCAUGCCUGUUCGAGCGUCAUUUCAACCCUCAAGCACAGCUUGGUGUUGGGACUCGCGUUAAUUCGCGUUCCCCAAAUUGAUUGGCGGUCACGUCGAGCUUCCAUAGCGUAGUAGUAAAACCGUCGUUACUGGUAAUCGUCGCGGCCACGCCGUUAAACCCCAACUUCUGAAUGUUGACCUCGGAUCAGGUAGGAAUACCCGCUGAACUUAAGCAUAUCAAUAAGCGGAGGA